rnacentral:rRNA from 1 species
UACGUAGGGGUGCAAGCGUUAAUCGGAAUUACUGGGCGUAAAGCGUGCGCAGGCGGUGAUGUAAGACAGGUGUGAAAUCCCCCGGGCUUAACCUGGGAACUGCAUUUGUGACUGCAUCGCUGGAGUGCGGCAGAGGGGGAUGGAAUUCCGCGUGUAGCAGUGAAAUGCGUAGAUAUGCGGAGGAACACCGAUGGCGAAGGCAAUCCCCUGGGCCGCACUGACGCUCAUGCACGAAAGCGUGGGGAGCAAACAGG